CAGGAAGCUACAUGAAGGUGGAGACUGUGAAUGAAUGAAUGAAUGAAUGAAUGAAUGUGAAAGGGGUAGGGAGAGAUGUGGGACAUGAGGACCCAGCUCACUUCACAUUAUAUAAAACAGAAGCUACUAUUUUCAACUUAAAUGGACUUAUGUAACAACUGAAAUGCUGAUCAUAAAGAAUGAAGUGAUAUCCAUACAAAAAGAGACCAUUUAGGUUCAUUAAUAAUUCAAUCUGUCCUGGGAUAAUUUGUCUAUGCCUUGGAAAUUUGGAUUAAUUGCCUUUGUGCCCAAACUGAAUGACACAGCUCUAUAUCUUGACCUUGUAUAGAUGUUGCUUAUGAGUUACGUAGAUACAUCCUGGGUAGGGCUGUCCCUUCUCAGAAUAAACUCCUGAUCUCAGUUAUUUGGAGAAAAACCCUCCGAGAGCAUUCAGUUCUGCCACAGCAGAGUUCCGGGAAUGCAAAGUGCGCAGUCAAACAGAUUUGAUGCUGAUGCAGGUUGGACCACACCCUACACAGACCUGCUGUACGAGCCCACCAGGACACAGCCCUUCUGCAGUCUUAGACAAGCUGUGGCCUGGCCGAGGAGGAGUAAGCUGCUCAACUGGAGCCCUCCAAUCUCUGGAUUCUGAAGUGUCUGACCAACACUCCCCCAGUUAAAUUCCCUGAAGGUUGAAGAGAUUGGAUGGACCACAUCAUCUUCCCUUUCUGCUUUAGAAUCCAGUAUGGGAGAAAACCAUUGCUAGGUAACACUCUUCGCUGGGGUUCAAUUCUUAUUUUUUCCUUUUAAAAAGUAGAGGGGGCAUGUUAAACUUUGGCUUUCUUUAGGUGUUUUAGACAUCUUUUUUUAUGCUAGAACUUUAAAAUGUGUGCAUUUGGUUGUGCUUUCAGGAAGACAUAUUUCUUUCCUGCCAGCCCUUUCCAAAGCAUAUUGAAUGGAGAAUUUCUGUAAUUUCACUGCAGAAUGUAAUUAUUGUUCAGACCCAUUUCGGAUACAUCUGGCACUCAUUUUCUCUCUUCAUCCUCUCUCAUUGAAAUAUGUCAUAAAAUGAAGGGAUUGGCACGAGUCGGAAGAAAAGCAUCCUGGAGCACAAAGGCAGUCUCUCUUCCUUAAAAAUGUGUCAGGAGCCCUCUAGGUGAGCCCAGGGAGGCAUUGGCAGGGGUGGUGGGCCUCUGAAAUCAGAUUGCAGAGGAACUUAAAGCUUUAUCCACUGUGGAUGGUGAAGAUUGAGUCAAUUUGUCAGGCUCGCCCUGAUCUUAACUUCUGGUGAAACUGACCAUGUAUUCUGGACUUGAGAGAACCCUGAGACACUUAUAUUUUACAAGACUAAUCCAAUUCCAGGGCCAAGCGGUGUCAUACCAGGGUCCCGCUGAGAUGCACUAAGGGCCCUUCUGUCCCUUGCUAUGUAGCUAUAACCUAAAAUCUAAUAUCAA
rnacentral:lncRNA from 1 species